GAUUCUGGCUCAGGAUGAACGCUGGCGGCGUGCCUAAUACAUGCAAGUGAAACGGGUAUCUUCGGAUACCAGUCGCGGACGGGUGAGUAAUACAUAGGCAACCUGCCUUUAUGAGGGGGAUAACCGAGGGAAACUUUGGCUAAUACCGCAUGAAGACUCCAAGGCAUCUUAGAGGGAUAAAAGUUGGGAAACAACGCAUGAAGAUGGGCUUAUGGCGCAUUAGCUAGUUGGUGAGAUAGAAGCCCACCAAGGUAAUGAUGCGUAGCCGACCUGAGAGGGUGAACGGCCACAUUGGGACUGAGACACGGCCCAAACUCCUACGGGAGGCAGCAGUAGGGAAUUUUCGGCAAUGGGGGGAACCCUGACCGAGCAACGCCCGCGUGAAGGAAGAAGGUUUUCGGAUUGUAAACUUCUGUUAUAAGGGAAGAACGGAUUGGAUAGGGAAUGAUCUGAUAGUGACGGUACCUUAUUAGAAAGCCACGGCUAACUACGUGCCAGCCGCGGC
rnacentral:rRNA from 1 species